AUUCGUCAUGGCGAAUUAAAACAGGGUAUUAAGCCAUGAGCGGAGGAGAUAAAAAUCUCCUCAUUACC
rnacentral:ribozyme from 1 species